CAGCAGCCGCGGGAAUACGUAGGGGGCAAGCGUUAUCCGGAAUAACUGGGCGUAAAGGGUGCGCAGGUGGUUUAACAAGUUAGUGGUGAAAGGCAUAGGCUCAACCAAUGUAAGCCAUUAAAACUGUUUAACUUGAGUGCAGGAGAGGAAAGUGGAAUUCCUAGUGUAGCGGUGAAAUGCGUAGAUAUUAGGAGGAAUACCAGUGGCGAAGGCGGCUUUCUGGACUGCAACUGACGCUGAGGCCCGAAAGCCAGGGGAGCGAACGGGAUUAGAUACCCGCGUAGUCCCUGUCUCUUAUACA
rnacentral:rRNA from 1 species